rnacentral:rRNA from 1 species
UACACUCCUACGGGAGGCAGCAGUGGGGAAUUUUGGACAAUGGGCGAAAGCCUGAUCCAGCAAUGCCGCGUGAGUGAAGAAGGCCUUCGGGUUGUAAAGCUCUUUUGUCAGGGAAGAAACGGUGAAAGCUAAUAUCUUUUGCUAAUGACGGUACCUGAAGAAUAAGCACCGGCUAACUACGUGCCAGCAGCCGCGGUAAUACGUAGGGUGCAAGCGUUAAUCGGAAUUACUGGGCGUAAAGCGUGCGCAGGCGGUUUUGUAAGUCUGAUGUGAAAUCCCCGGGCUCAACCUGGGAAUUGCAUUGGAGACUGCAAGGCUAGAAUCUGGCAGAGGGGGGUAGAAUUCCACGUGUAGCAGUGAAAUGCGUAGAUAUGUGGAGGAACACCGAUGGCGAAGGCAGCCCCCUGGGUCAAGAUUGACGCUCAUGCACGAAAGCGUGGGGAGCAAACAGGAUUAGAAACCCUUGUAGUCCCA